rnacentral:rRNA from 1 species
GUGGGGAGCAAACAGGAUUAGAUACCAUGGUAGUCACGCUGUAAACGAUGUCGAUUUGGAGUUUGGGGGCAUGACCCUUGGGCUCAGGAGCUAACGCGUUAAAUCGACCGCUGGGGAGUACGGCCGCAAGGUUAAAACUCAAAUGAAUUGACGGGGGCCCGCACAAGCGGUGGAGCAUGUGGUUUAAUUCGAUGCAACGCGAAGAACCUUACUUGGUCUUGACAUCCAUAGAAUCUUUCAGAGAUGAGGGAGUGCCUUCGGGAGCUAUGAGACAGGUGCUGCAUGGCUGUCGUCAGCUCGUGUUGUGAAAUGUUGGGUUAAGUCCCGCAACGAGCGCAACCCCUAUCCUUUGUUGCCAGCACGUAAUGGUGGGAACUCAAAGGAGACUGCCGUUGAUAAAGCGGAGGAAGGUGGGGACGACGUCAAGUCAUCAUGGCCCUUACGACCAGGGCUACACACGUGCUACAAUGGCGUAUACAAAGGGAUGCGAAGGUGCGAACUGGAGCGGACCUCACAAAGUACGUCUAAGUCCGGAUUGGAGUCUGCAACUCGACUCCAUGAAGUCGGAAUCGCUAGUAAUCGUGAAUCAGAAUGUCACGGUGAAUACGUUCCCGGGCCUUGUACACACCGCCCGUCGCACCAUGGGAGUGGGUUGCACCAGAAGUAGAUAGCUUAACCUUCGGGAGGGCGUUUACCACGGUGUGGUUCAUGACUGGGGUGAAGUCGUAACAAGGUAACCA